UCAGGAAGGAGAAUAAUAAAAAAAAAUUAUUAUUUCUGACUUUAGGAGAAGUUACGAUCGGCUACGACUCUUGACGACGUCUAUCUCGCCGUCACGGCUUUCUCACACCCGUCGAACUCCAUUCCGUCGUCGCCGACAACAGGCCAUAUCGGACAAGAACAAUGAUUGUCUUUGACUCCUGAUAGAUUGCCACCAAGGUCAAGACUUGAUUUGGACAACAUAGGCAAUCUCGUGAGCCACUUUCCUAGCAGCUCGUCAUCAGAAGAUUCGAUCUCGGCCACUCCUUGUUGGACGGUUCACGCCGGCACGGAAACCUCUACCGAAGACAAGCUAGGUUUGGCAAGGGUUCUGGUACAGAGCGUUCACGUUCUCGAAGUAUCUUCAGUCUCCGGAUUAGAGUCACCGCUUUCCCCACGGCGGAGACGGAGGUCAGAGAUUCGAUCCUGGCGGCGAGUUUGAGCUUUGACAAGGGAGACGUACUUCUUGCGACCGAGUGAAUUCCAAGAUGUAGAUCCCGCGGCUUCGUCAAUUGAUCACUUCAUCUUCAUCGUUUCUGAAGAAUCUGACGGAACAACAUCAUUCAUCACACCGUCUUCAUCGUUUCGAAGCUCUCCCAGCGAGCUUAAUCUCAGCAGCGCUAUGGACUUGAUACGAACGCCUCGAUCUCGAGAUGUAGAACCCUGAGAGAGCUCUGAUUGGCUUCUUAGAUUCUUGGCAUGCUUUCCCCGGCUACAAAGACGUCUCCUCGUCAAGACUCCCCUCGAGAUCAAGUCAAAACCAGCUCUGUCUCUCUUUGUCGACCACAAGCUCGUGACUUUUAUCACGGUUUUCACAAUCGAUCAUUCGCGACUCUGUCGACAAGAAACUGAAGAUGAGAGGGCCGAGCAACAACUAAUAGGAUACAUAUCAUGUUGAGUUUGUACUUGAGCUGACGAGCUGAAGCUAUGGUGGUCGAAGACGUUUCCCAUUGCCGAGUAAAGCACAUGACUGUUGUUCUACGUCAAACCAUACGAGCCUGAGCUUCUGUAUAAGAAGUCUCGUAACAAAUUUUAGUUGGCAACUGGCACCAUUGAUGGAGCUUGAGCCUGAGCUGAGCGUGUAAGCUGCAUUUCAAGAGGACAGUAACGCUGUUACGGUCUUGAUGACAAUCUAGCGGACUGCCGAAGAAGAGAGGAAGCUUUCUCAUGAAAGGCCGACCAAAUAGCCCAAGAUUCCCAUCAGCUUGCCGUCUCGCAACAAACUGAAACUUGAUCUGACAAGCUCCAAACGGUUAACUUCAAGCCGGUCGCAUGCCAAGAGCUAGAGCUCGCCAAACGCAAUGACAACAGACCUCUGUCUCGGCAAGGUCUCCAUCUCGUCAACAACUAGCUCAGCAUCUUGUUCUCGACAAAUUGAGGCUUGUUACGCUUCACCAGGCAUGACGUCUUCAAUGGUUCCAUCGCUAGAAGCUUGUUUCUGACUUCAAGCUCUAUCAGCUUGUCACCGAUCCACAAAUUCAGUCUCGCAGCACGUUUCUCAGCGUCACGCCGACCACACCAAUCGCUACAACAUGUGGAUCAACAAGACAUCUUGAUGCGCCAAAACUCCACCAUUCCAUCUACACAUGGAUCUUGUCAGUACCGCGAAGACAUGUCCACGGCGAUUCGAUUGUGGCAGUUCUUUCAUGGCGGUACGUUCAUGACGAUGUGUAUGGCGACUUGUCUUUGGCAGUUCGUCGAUUGACACUUAAUCCAUGGCGACUCUUUCGGAUGGUUCAGAACACUGUCCUCACAGAUCGUUCGCGCAACCAUCCCGGGAGGUCCGAUCGGAAUCAGAAGUAUGUCAACGACAGCUCGCCCGGGACAGUCCGUCCAUGACACUUCGUUUAUGGCAACCUAACAACGACAGUCCAUUCAUGACAAUCGUCUACGACAUGGGGGAAACAAGACGUCACUUCUUGAUCAUUACUACGCCAGCUGGAAAGGAGUCUGCUGGGGUUUCAUGGAAGAGAAAAUGUCUCAUAGAUAUGAUGAAAUGAUAAUUCCGAACAAUUUUUAAGGAAAUGAUAGAAGACUCAAGUACAUUGGUAAAAAAAACAGAGAAAGGUUCCUCAUAUUGACUUCUUUCUUGAGACGAGUUUCAAAUGUUUUGUCGAUCCCAUCGGACCCUUUGAUUCCAUGUGGUUCUUUCGACCCCCAGGCUCCGGUUUCCUUUUUGUCAACCCAUCAAGCUUAAGGAACACAACACCACAAAAGCUCCUAGAACUGCUAAAACCAGUGGUUGAAUGAAAAUUUCAUCUCUUAAAACACUUGGGAAUCGUGGUAGUUUUGAAAGAACUACCUUGGUUUCAGCUGAGUCCAGAAUCAUAUUUUGGAAUAAGAGUUGAUAAGGAGCUCCCAAUUAGAAUCUUUCCACUCCAGAAUUAGUUUCUCACGAUCAUAUACAACUCAGGUUAUCGAGGGUUUUAUAUGGGAGAUUUCCUUCUGCAACGAUGAUAAAAGGGGGAAUAAGAUGUCAAUCUUAUCUUUCUAGAUUUCUAAUAGCAUUGUUAACGGAGAAAAUCUUAUGCAUUUUCUGUCAAAGAUAGCAUCACACAUUUGAAAGAGGCUUUGUUACCUACAGAAGGUGUAAAAACCUUUAUCAAAAUUCGACAGUUGUUUCUCUGAUGUUUAUGUAUACUCUUCAUACUGGUUUUCUGUUUGUGGCUUGGAGAUAAGCAAAGCUAUGUAUCGUGAGUUGUAGAUUUUUCUGGAGGUGGGGUAUUAUGGAUUUGAGUUCAUCUUACGUCCAGUGAUACUAAUUUUUUCUAUCGUCAUGAUGUCUGAACAGUAGACAUAUGUAUCCUGGAAGCAUUACAAGGAGAGGCAAAGCUUUAUUUCUAACGACACUAUGGCAGUCUGGCAGUCACGAGACAGAGUUUCGACUGCAAUAAACUAAUAACAGAGGCCUAACUUAGCUAAAUGAAAUAAGACGUAUGUAAUAUUGUCUCAUUACUCCAACCUAUAAGCCACAAAUAUAAAUAUAUAUGAAA